AAUCAACGCUGGCGGCGUGCCCCAGACAUGCAAGUCGAACGAUUAAACUUUCCUUCGGGAAAGAUAUAAAGUGGCGCACGGGUGAGUAACACGUAAGUAAUCUACCUUCGAGUGGGGAAUAACGUUCGGAAACGGACGCUAAUACCGCAUAAUGCAGUGGCAUCGCAAGAUAACAGUUGUUAAAGGAUUUAUUCGCUUGA
rnacentral:rRNA from 1 species